UACAGAGGUCCCAAGCGUUGUUCGGAUUCACUGGGCGUAAAGGGUGCGUAGGUGGUGAGGUAAGUCGGAUGUGAAAGCUCGGAGCUCAACUCCGAAAUGGCAUUGGAAACUACCUUGCUCGAGGGUUGGAGGGGGGACUGGAAUACUUGGUGUAGCAGUGAAAUUCGUAGAUAUUCGCAAGAACACCAGUGGCGAAGGCGGCUCACUGGCCCGGUACUGACGCUGAGGUGCGAAAGCGUGGGGAGCAAACAGG
rnacentral:rRNA from 1 species